UGGAUUAGGCAUGCAAGUCGAACGGAACUUCUAGCUUUUUCGGAAGUUUAGUGGCGAAAGGGUGAGUAACACGUGGGUUACCUGCCCUAGGGUUCGGGAUAACCUGUCGAAAGACGGGCUAAUACCGGAUACGUCCUGCACUUUUCGAAGUGUAGGGGAAAGAUGGGGAUCCGUAAGGACCUAUCACCCUUGGAUGGGCCCGCGGCCUAUCAGCUAGUUGGUGAGGUAAUGGCUCACCAAGGCUAAGACGGGUAGCUGGUCUGAGAGGAUGGUCAGCCACACUGGAACUGAGACACUGUCCAGACACCUACGGGUGGCUGCAGUCGAGAAUCUUUCGCAAUGGGGGAAACCCUGACGACGCGACGCCGCGUGGAGGAUGAAGGCCUUCGGGUUGUAAACUCCUGUCAGCAGGGGAGAACAAGUUGUCGGUGAAUAAUCGAUAGCUUUGACAGUACCUGCAGAGGAAGCCACGGCUAACUCUGUGCCAGCAGCCGCGGUA
rnacentral:rRNA from 1 species